rnacentral:rRNA from 1 species
GAUAACACUUAGAAAUAGGUGCUAAUACCGCAUAAGCGCACGAAGCCGCAUGGAUUUGUGUGAAAAACUCCGGUGGUGUAAGAUGGACCCGCGUCUGAUUAGCUUGUUGGCGGGGUAACGGCCCACCAAGGCGACGAUCAGUAGCCGGCCUGAGAGGGUGGACGGCCACAUUGGGACUGAGACACGGCCCAAACUCCUACGGGAGGCAGCAGUGGGGGAUAUUGGACAAUGGGGGGAACCCUGAUCCAGCGACGCCGCGUGAGUGAAGAAGUAUUUCGGUAUGUAAAGCUCUGUCAGCAGGGAAGAAAGAAAUGACGGUACCUGACCAAGAAGCCCCGGCUAACUACGUGCCAGCAGCCGCGGUAAUACGUAGGGGGCAAGCGUUAUCCGGAAUUACUGGGUGUAAAGGGAGCGUAGACGGUUAAGUAAGUCUGGAGUGAAAGGCCGGGGCCCAACCCCGGGACUGCUCUGGAAACUAUUCAACUUGAGUGCAGGAGAGGUAAGCGGAAUUCCUAGUGUAGCGGUGAAAUGCGUAGAUAUUAGGAGGAACACCAGUGGCGAAGGCGGCUUACUGGACUGUAACUGACGUUGAGGCUCGAAAGCGUGGGGAGCAAACAGGAUUAGAUACCCUGGUAGUCCACGCCGUAAACGAUGAUUACUAGGUGU